AGUGAACGCUGGCGGUAGGCCUAACACAUGCAAGUCGAACGGCAGCACAGUAAGAGCUUGCUCUUACGGGUGGCGAGUGGCGGACGGGUGAGGAAUACAUCGGAAUCUACUUUUUCGUGGGGGAUAACGUAGGGAAACUUACGCUAAUACCGCAUACGACCUACGGGUGAAAGCAGGGGAUCUUCGGACCUUGCGCGAUUGAAUGAGCCGGUGUCGGAUUAGCUAGUUGGCGGGGUAAAGGCCCACCAAGGCGACGAUCCGUAGCUGGUCUGAGAGGAUGAUCAGCCACACUGGAACUGAGACACGGUCCAGACUCCUAAGAGAGGAAGCAGUGGGGAAUAUUGGACGAUGGGCGCAAGCCUGAUCCAGCCAUACCGCGUGGGUGAAGAAGGCAUUCGGGUUGUAAAGCCCUUUUGUUGGGAAAGAAAAGCAGCAGGUUAAUACCCCGCUGUUCUGACGGUACCCAAAGAAUAAGCACCGGCUAAAUUCGUG
rnacentral:rRNA from 1 species